rnacentral:rRNA from 1 species
UUCCGGUUGAUCCCGCCGGACCUGACUGCUAUCGGAUUGAUACUAAGCCAUGCUAGUCUUUGUAGUAAUACAAGGCAUACGGCUCAGUAACGCGUAGUCAACCUACCCUAUGGACGGGGAUAAUCUCGGGAAACUGAGCAUAAUUCUUGAUAGAUCAUAAUGCCUGGAAUGGUUUAUGGUUAAAAUGAUUCGUCGCCAUAGGAUGGGACUGCGGCCUAUCAGCUUGUUGGUGAGGUAAUGGCCCACCAAGGCGAUUACAGGUACGGGCUCUGAGAGGAGAAGCCCGGAGAUGGGUACUGAGACAAGGACCCAGGCCCUAUGGGGCGCAGCAGGCGAGAAAACUUUGCAAUGUGCGAAAGCACGACAAGGUUAGUCCGAGUGAUUUCUGCUAAAGAGAUCUUUUGCUAGUUAUAAAACCACUAGUGAAUAAGGGGUGGGCAAGUUCUGGUGUCAGCCGCCGCGGUAAAACCAGCACCUCAAGUGGUCAGGAUGAUUAUUGGGCCUAAAGCAUCCGUAGCCGGCUCUGUAAGUUUUCGGUUAAAUCUAUGCGCUCAACGUAUGGGCUGCCGAAAAUACUGUAGAGAUAGGGAGUGGGAGAGGUAGACGGUACUCGGUAGGAAGGGGUAAAAUCCUUUGAUCUAUCGAUGACCACCUGUGGCGAAGGCGGUCUACCAGAACACGUUCGACGGUGAGGGAUGAAAGCUGGGGGAGCAAACCGGAUUAGAUACCCGGGUAGUCCCAGCUGUAAACUAUGCAAACUCAGUGAUGCAUUGGCUUGUGGCCAAUGCAGUGCUGCAGGGAAGCCGUUAAGUUUGCCGCCUGGGAAGUACGUACGCAAGUAUGAAACUUAAAGGAAUUGGCGGGGGAGCACCACAAGGGGUGAAGCCUGCGGUUCAAUUGGAGUCAACGCCGGG